GCCAUUUUAUCUGACGUAGAGCCGCUGCGCUGAAGGCGGUUUGGGGUCUCGUUCGAUAGUACGCUGAGCAUCAGUCAGCAGUGCGCCCAGGCAGACAGGAAUGCUCGCCGCAGCCUAGGGUGCGUCAGGCCCAGCACUCCCAGCCGGGCGGAGGGAGCACUGUAGAUGGGGAGGCGUGUUGUAAGCACACAACAAUGGAAAAGCUGUGCAACCGUUUGUUGGGAUCUUUAUCGCUAGGAGCCACGUGCCAGGUGGAAUUAGCCCACAGUGACAGCCAGCAUCAAGACCUUCCCCUUCAUCUUCUUUAUCUGUGUGUGCAGAGACUUCCCCUGUUGUCUUUGCUUUCCACAGCAAUCUUUGGAACAAAAGGAGUGUUGGGAGAAAGUAAAUGACCCUGGACCCACAUUAAAGGGCUGGAAGUGAACCAACAAUGGACCAUCACGGUGCUAGAAAGCUAGAUGACAUCAGAGAUUGCCAAAUGAAGCUAUGUCUGUUGGGAAGUCGCUGGGAGUGAAUAGGAUAAUAAAUUUGGGAAUAUAAUGAAUAUCUAAUACAUGUGAAAACAUAACCUGUUCAUGAACAAUCAGCUGGUGAGCAUUCUUCAAGAGUUAUCCCAAUGCCAUCCCAGCUCUGCCAAUAAAGAAUACCUUGCUUAAUGGUAAGAAAGUGCUGCUGUUAAGUUCAUACACAUUGAUUUCUUCAAAUCACUACACUGCAGUGGUGUGGCACUACCUCAAUCUCUGAGUACAGUUUGGGGCACCACAGGACAAAAAAAAGGAUAGCAUGGAGUACUGAAUGGCUUCAGUAAGUGGCUGCACACACUGGAGUUUUUGACUUGCAUGCCAGAGGACCAGGUUGGCCACUUAGUAAGUAACAAAAAUACAGAAGCACACAGUUGGGCUCAGUGAUCUUGAAGGUCUUUUGCAACCUAAAUGAUUCUUUGAUUCUUCUGGAGCCCGGAGACCACAAGGACAAGCACAAAGGCUUAUUAUUCCCAGCAUAAGUACCUGUCCUCAACGCUCUCAGAAAUAACUGUGGCUGUCCACUCAACUUCUGUGCAGGUUUUGGCCUAAUAUGUGGUUGUGCUGGCCUAGCCUUAGACAAGGGCCUAACUCCCACCAGCUACUCACUCCCUCCUCCUCCCAAAAAGGAGAGCAGGAGAACAGGGGAUGAAAAAACUCGUGGGUCAAGAUGAAGACAGGGAGAUCUCUUAACAGUUAGUGUGAUGGACAAAAGAAACUCAACAUGGGAAAAGUUAUUUAUUCUGAAGUAAACUGCAUAGCUUUCCCCUAGCGUCACUGUCAUGGGCUGGAUCACUGUGGAGCCUGAACUGAUACACACAGGUGUACUCUGGGUGGCCCCAGUUGCUCAGCACUUGCAGCCUUAUGUAACUGAAGAAUCCAGAGCACUGGAGAUGUUGUCUGCGUGGUACGCUGUUGCUGGAAUUCCAUGGUUUAUCGUAACUGCUGUGGGAAAGAUGCCCACAGGCAACUUGAUGAAGACGUGCCCUUGACUUCCUGGGAAGGGCCAGCAGUUACCUGGAUGAUUGUCAGGUUAAAAGAGGAGAAGAAAGAACAGUGUUCAUGUGCAAAAGAGCGUCCUGGCUGAAAUUCCUGCCCCAGCAUCGGGGGCUCUAGAGGCGUACUGGCCCAUCAGCUCUGCUCUGAAGCACAGGAGGCAUACGUGCGUGGCGGUGAGCUGGGUGCACCACUUGCAGAAGCUCUCGGGCUCCUUCUUUUGUGGAGCAACUUGCCAAAAACCAGGAGGGGCUGCUGAGACUGAAAGGCACCCGCCCGGGGCAAAGAAGGGCUCACCUGCACGAGCCUUUCCUGGAAGGGGAAGCAACCGCUCCCUCUCAUCCAGUCCCACCUCCUUCCACGGGCACCAGCCAAGUCUCCGACUUGUGCAAGUAGCUCAGGAGCAGUGCCAGGAUGGGCUGGCAAACACAACAUGGGGCCCUCCUGCAGUGCCCGCCCUCCGUGCCCGCUUGGGUUCGCUAAGAGCCCCAGCGUUCUCACAACCCACAUCUCCCAUGGCACCUUAUGGGUUCCCCUUCAGUGCUAGCCUGACAGUUCCACAGUGGCUGGGAAGACAAGCAAGCUAAGCUGGCAGAAGCUUGCACAGAGGACUUGGGGCAGUCUGGCAGAAGAAAUUCUCAGCGGGAAUACACAGGAGGGGAGUAGGUCCCUGCAAGAAGACCACUGGUAAAGAAAGCUGAGAUGCGAGGACAAGGGUAAAGGCAACCCCCAGCAGGGCGUUUGGCCCCCUCCGCCCCGUACCAUUCUUCCUCUGUUUCUCAGUGUUCUUACCUCAAGAAUAAUCUCAGGAGGCCUCGUAUAAGCCAUCAGUGGCAACGACUGCCAAAAGCCUCUCCCACUUCCAAUCCAGGAGGGAGAAGUCUUGGAAAGAACAAUAGUAGCACCUGCAAAUUAAAACACGGACACAAUGGUCAAGCAAGGCCAGGAGGAAUCAAGGGCUGCUGACUGUUUUCCACGCGGACAGCUGCACAGAGAUGCCGGCUGCCUUUGCAGCUUUGCAAGUAUCAGUAGAUUGUAGAGCCCUGUGCUGACACCAAAAGGCUCCCAGUGUGAUAACACUCAAUUCUCUUAAUUAUAAUGCCUUUCCAUGUACGACAACAAUAGAUGUGAAGGAUACGUGUUUUUUUGUUUUGUUUUGUUUUUUGUUUUUAUGAUCCCAGUAUUGGCUAUGUAUAGGAGAGAUUUGCUUCUGUCUGGCAGGGACGCUGGUGGACAUUUGCCACAGAUUUGAAACACAGCCCUGCUUUAAUCAAGCUGUGUUCUCUGAAAAACACGAAGCAGUAAAAUUACCACAGGAGGUCACUGUUGUGACACGUAUGCCACAUCUAUAUGACAGUGCUGAGGACCAACAUUCCCCUUUUGAAUAGUGCUUCGUAUGCCUGUUCCUGCUGGUAAGCCAGAGCCUUCAGGUGUAGCACAUAAGACCGCUGUACGUAUAACAGGACAGAGAAUGUAACAGAACUAUGAAAAUAGCCAUUGUAUGUUGACAAUGAAAGGAAACAAUUUACUUUCUUGUUUGUAAAUUCCUGUGACAUUAAUUGUAAUGGUUUAUUGGUGCAUAGAAAAAAAAAAAAAAAAGAUGAGACAAGUUGAAGAUGUUUGUAUGGUUUAACUUCAUUUUUAAUUUUUAUGUUGGGCAUUUUACCGGGAUAUCAGCAGUCAUUGAACAAAAACAUCUCUUUCCUCUGAGAGACUGAAGUAAUGCUGUCACAGUGCUUUUUCUUUGACAAGUGUGUAGUAACUUAAAUGGUUUGUUUCAGCUGCUUCUCCUGUUGUCUUUGUAUUAAUAUCAAGGGAUGAUUAAAAAGUGUCUGUUUUCUGUUUUCUUGCAGCUUCAGAAGUCACAGUCACAGACAUCUUGUAUGGUAAAAAGCUGAAGUUUGUUCUGGAAACCUGGUCUGCCUUUCUGAAAAUAUCACAAGGUCUGUGGAGAACAAUAGCGUGAGAAAAAUAAGGGAAAAUACUGCCAGGAUAGCUUUUGUGAAGGGUUACAAAGCUCUGAAUCUAAAGUUGUCUGUGUGCUUUUAGACAGAAGCUCAUGUAUGCAAGUUAGUCUAAUAAAAAAUAAGCGUUACAUUCUCUUAGUUGUUGAGAACUUAUUAUGUCUUUGAAUAAUAUGCAACUGCCAGUUCCCCUUGAAGAUAUAUUCUAUUUGUCACUUCAAAACUUGGAGAAUGGUCAUAAAUCCAGUUAUUCUUGAGUUUGUCUCACAGGAAUGUAGAAAUUUGGAAGACAAAGCCUUAUUUGAAGUUACUGUUGCCCACCUUUUUUUGAGGGGGGCUGGGGGGAAAUUGAGUCAACUCACAUUGGAAGAGUUGAGCCAUCAGAUUCUCUCCAGGAAAAGACAUUUAUAAAAUUUUUAAUGGUAACCACUUCAGAGUUCUGAAAUAUUUGUAAUGAAUCUUUCAGUGCUACAUAUUGGCCUCCUCUUCUUCCACUGAGUCAUAACUUUCAGUAAGUGUAAGCACGGGCAAAAUGAAACCAUAAAAAGCCUUCUGCCUUCAUCUCAUGUUUGGUCUACUGAACAUCAGAACUACUAUAAGGGAUUCUAGCAGGAAUUGAAUUUGACCAUAAGAAAAAGGCAACUAUCUUCAACUUCAGUGAUAAUUGGAGUUAUGACAAUAUACUGGAUAGGUGGUCAGUCCUAGGUAUAAUAUAGAGAUAAAUCUCAGGUGUCAAUCUUCAAAUUACAAUUGUUAUGUAUAUAAUUACCAGAACAUAAUGCCAAAUUCAUGGAGCUGACAGAACAACAAGGAAGAAUGGCCCUCUCUAGAUCUGUAGAGCAGUUUUAUGUUAGAUAGCUCUCCAAACAACAAUCCCAGGGACAGCAAAUUUAGGAGAAAUCAGAACCAAAAGUCUCACCACUGGGCAAAUGGCUUAGGCUAGUAAAACCCAAGCAUUCAGACGUGUUACCUUCUUGGUUUCAGAACCACUAUAAGUGAAUGCUGUAACUUCUUCUGUGAAAAAGGUGCUUUGAAGCAAUGCUGGCAGUUUUAGCAGCCUCUCUUGAGAAAAGAAAACAGUUGUUGGAUGCAUGUAUUCAGAUGAGAACUUUGAUUUAGAAUGGACAAAUGCAUUGGACCUUUGCACUGUCUCAGGUGUCAUAUGUCAUUUAUGGAGAAAGAUACUGCAUUCACAAUGCUAUUACUUUGUCAACAUGCUAGAUUUAAGGAUACUUUAUAAACUGAUUAAUUGUCCACAUGCAGUAUACAGUAAUCAUAAGUAUAUAACCCUGAUAGCUUGUAUAUCCAGGAUUUUUAUUGCAUCUAAAUCCAAAUUUCUAGAGCAGUAGUUUAAUGUCACUAGCACUUCAAUCCAUAGGCUGAAUGUUCUUCAGGGUAUGGAACCUAUCAUUUAGUAGCAUUGAAGAGCUAAGUAUACAGCAUCCCUGUAUUACCUUUAAAUCAUUCAUGUACUCUGAAAAAAAAAAUCCAUAAAACAGACAACAAAAACCCUGCAGGGAAAAAAAAAAAAAAACACUGUUAGAUGUUCUACUUCUACAAUAGCAUUCUGAUAUAAAAACUGGAGAGCAAAAUGAUGCCAGUAAAUUCUCUGUGGUGACUUGCAGUGUCGAGGUUUACAGAAAUUCUUCAAUCAUACGGUUACACUAACUCAAAACAAAAAGUGUGUCCUUUUUGAUAAGAACCUACAGGCUUGAUUAAAAAUAGUCUCUAAUGUAUCAGCAUGAUUUUGAUUUGUGGAGAGUAGCUAAGACAAUGGCUAUGCUGAGAUGCUGAGCAGACAUGUAAAUCUUGUUGCCAUUAAUUAGUGCAGUUCCUAUCUUGACUUGAAGGAAUAAGGAUGAUAUAUAUGACAAAGUAUGAAAGAUUAGAGCUUAUAUUUUAUGCAGUUUGCAUCCAUUUGUGGCAUUGUAAAGGUGUUUUAUAACAAACUGGAGUUCUACAAAAGGACCUCCCGUGCAAAGUGUUGAUCAGACUACGUAGCUUGGUCGGCCUCAUCUGUCAAGCAUAAACGUGUUGAAACAUGCAUUGUGGAGUUUCCAGUUUUACAGAUAUUAAAAACACAACUGGACAAGGUCUUGAGUAACUUGAUCUGAAUUGAUCCAGCCCAGAUACUCUGGUGGUAGAGAAAUAGACUGGAGCAGAUGACAUCCAGAGGUCCCUUCUAGCAUGUAUUAUUUUAUGAACUUCUCUGUCUUCUCUCCUGUCAUCACCUGAGGGGACAGGACAGUGAUGGGCAAGGUAUUGAACUCAUAUGAGGGAGAUCCUCAAGUUACGAGGCAGAAAAUUGGAAAUAAUAGUGUCUUUACCUCUUAUUUGGAAAUGACAUUUGGAAAUUUGGAAUGGCAGUACAUACUACACAGUGUAGCAUACUGAAGAAAAAAAAAAGAUUAACAGACUAGAAAUCACUUGCUGUGAGUGAAGAGGUAAUAAAUCAUACUCAAAUUAUUACUGGCAUUCGAUAUGUCUCAUUUUUAGUUUGAUUAAUGGAAUGUAAUUAUAUCAGGAAUUACCAAUUCUAAUGGAAAUUUGGCCAAUAAAGAAGUUGAAAUAAUUUUAUGAAUCCAGUAGUAACAGUAAUGUAUUAAGAGUAUUUAGUACUUACAAGAAAUACAGAAUAAAGUCAAUGUAAAUAUGAAAUACUAAAAGAAUGAAGAAAAUGCUGAGAUUAUGAGCUGUAAAUAUAAGAUUAAUAUACUAGUUGAAUAAUUUUGCUUCUGAAUUAAUUUUAGAAUCAUGGUUUCUUGUUCUUUUGUGUUUGGGAACAGAUCAGAGUAAUUCUGGACAAGCCAUUAUGACUCUGUAAGUUCUAAUGUUUCUAUUUGACAGCCGUUGAAUAUUUUAUAAUGUCAUAUUUUUUGUUUACACCUAAAAAUAGUAGUAAUUUAAUUUCUAGUAUGACUCAUUUCAUUCAAAAUACCCAUUAGCUCCUUUGCAAGUGAGAUAUCUAUCCAUGUUUUUGAACACCUCAGAAAAAAAUCUCUAGAAGGUCAUUUUGCUAAUAGAAGCCUGGAAGACUCUUGCAGAUCGAUUUUGUCUAUCCAAGAGACUAACUGGUAGUCACAGUCCUGCAUUAGGUUGCCAUUAGCAAGCUAGUCUGAUGAUAGAAUAAUUUGUUUCAUGUAUUCUGAUUUACUGGGAAUGAUCUACCAUGAGUUUUUUUUUUUGUUUACUGUAUAAAAUCUUUUUGAUAAAUGCUGCUUAAAAGGACUUUUCCCUGGCAGUCCUAGUAUCUCAGCUUUGUCUUUGGCAUACAUCUGAUAACACCUGCUUAUGGCUGGGACAUUUCUGAGAUAGCUAGCUAACAAUAUUCUCCCUGCUGACCAUGCUAAUAGAAAGGAUGAUUGUAUUGCUCUGAAAAUUGGGAGGUCAAUGCAGAACAGAAGAAAUCAUAACUAAGUAAGUUUUCAUGUACCUGGAGAAUGGAAAUAAUAACUGUAAGUACAACAAUACUUCAAGAAGAUUUUUUUUUUUUACUUCUGUUACUCAUUCUUUAAUUUUUAGGUGGUAUGAGUUCUGUUUUGUUGUUGUUGUUGUUCUUGAUGAACAUGCUUUUCCUCCAGAUAAAGCUGGGGAAUUUGAUACGGAAAAAAAGUCUAUGACAAUCUCCUGAAAAUUCUUAUUGGCCUAGAAAAAUAUUGCUACGGUAUGUGUUUCUUUUCUGUGAUUCAGGAGCUCAUGUGAGUCAUCCGUGAUUUCAAAUGCAGUCCCAGAGAGCUCAGUCAAUAAAGCAUUUUGGCACCAU